rnacentral:rRNA from 1 species
CGUGCACGCUGGCGGUAGGCCUAACACAUGCAAGUCGAACGGCAGCACAGUAAGAGCUUGCUCUUACGGGUGGCGAGUGGCGGACGGGUGAGGAAUACAUCGGAAUCUACUUUUUCGUGGGGGAUAACGUAGGGAAACUUACGCUAAUACCGCAUACGACCUACGGGUGAAAGCAGGGGAUCUUCGGACCUUGCGCGAUUGAAUGAGCCGAUGUCGGAUUAGCUAGUUGGCGGGGUAAAGGCCCACCAAGGCGACGAUCCGUAGCUGGUCUGAGCGGAUGAUCAGCCACACUGGAACUGAGACACGUUCCAGACUCCUACGGGAGGCAGCAGUGUGGAAUAUUGGACAAUGGGCGCAAGCCUGAUCCAGCCAUACCGCGUGGGUGAAGAAGGCCUUCGGGUUGUAAAGCCCUUUUGUUGGGAAAGAAAAGCAGCAGGUUAAUACCCCGCUGUUCUGACGGUACCCAAAGAAUAAGCACCGGCUAACUUCGUG